rnacentral:rRNA from 1 species
UACGUAGGGAGCAAGCGUUAUCCGGAUUUAUUGGGUGUAAAGGGUGCGUAGACGGAUUAGCAAGUUAGUAGUGAAAUCCCUCGGCUUAACUGAGGAACUGCUACUAAAACUACUAGUCUUGAGUGCUGGAGGGGAAAGUGGAAUUCCUAGUGUAGCGGUGAAAUGCGUAGAUAUUAGGAAGAACACGGUGGCGAAGGCGACUUUCUGGACGAUAACUGACGUUGAGGCACGAAAGUGUGGGGAGCAAACA